UACGAAGGGGGCUAGCGUUGUUCGGAAUUACUGGGCGUAAAGCGCGCGCAGGCGGUUCGAUAAGUUAGGGGUGAAAUCCCCGGGCUCAACCCGGGAAUGGCCUUUAAGACUGUCGAGCUAGAGGACGAGAGAGGUGAGUGGAAUUCCCAGUGUAGAGGUGAAAUUCGUAGAUAUUGGGAAGAACACCGAUGGCGAAGGCAGCCCCCUGGGCCGAUACUGACGCUCAUGCACGAAAGCGUGGGGAGCAAACAGGAUUAGAAACCCCUGUAGU
rnacentral:rRNA from 1 species